rnacentral:lncRNA from 1 species
CUGGAUGACCGCAACUGCUGUAGCUGCACCAAUCCAAAGCCAGGAGCCAGAUGCUUCCUCCCAUUAUCCCAUGAGGGUGCAGGGGCCCAAGGGCCAUCUUCCACUGCUUUCCCAAGCCAUAUUAGAGAGCUGGAUUGGAAGAGGGGCAGCCUGGACUCUAACUAGCACCUAUAUGGGAUGCUGGCAUCGCAGGCAGAGUAUUAACCCACUGUGCCACGGCGCCAGCUCCCUCUAAUGCUGCAUCUUAUGCAGUGCAGUUAUAAAGUUCUGACCACAAAGAUCUUUGCUUUUUCAAAGGAGUAUGUUGUGUGUGUGUGCGUGUAGAUAGAUCGAUCGAUAUGUUGUGUGUGUGCGUGUAGAUAGAUCGAUCGAUAUAGAUAUAAACAUAUCUACCAUAUAUUAUGUAAACAUUUAUAAACACAUAUUCAAAUUGUAACAAGGCAGAACAGAACCAGAAUAGAGCUCAGGCAAUGAAAAAAAGGGGAAAAGAGACAUUAUAACCUCUUGUGUUGGCUCUCUGAAAGUACCCCUCUCUUUCUAUUCACAGCUGCAUUGCUAAUUAAAUUGAAUGGGAUCAAUUUUAGCUGAACAUUAAUGGUAAAAUUGCAUUGCUCACUCUUAUCUUAGGCACAAUAAGAAGAGUUUUAUUUGGCCUCUUUGUCCUCGAGAUUUAUUAUAUGUGUAACAGACCAUUCUACAUCCCUGCUAACAUGAUUUGAUGGUUUGCCACAAAUCUAAGAGUCAGACAUUUCACUUCUCUGAAAAGUGCACGCUUCACUCCCCUAAGAACUUAUUUAUCAGCAAGUGACUGGAAGAAUUUGAACUCUGAAAGAAUUUGAACUCUGCAAACUAAUGCCAAAUCAAUGCUCUUGGCCACACAGAAACUUGUUAAUGGAGAACUAUGUUGGGUUAAAGUUUGCCAAGAGCAGAAAUAUAAAAGCCUCCGAAUUGCCUUUUUGUUGUGGUUUUUGGCUGAUGAAAACAAUGAAAAUAAAUUGGGAGAUUUGCUCACAAGGCAUUUCCUGUAUUCAAAUGCAUGCACAUGUAAUUUUGAUUUGGCUGCUGCUUUUCCAUGAAGUAGGAUGAACAUAUCUAGAAUGCAAUCUUCAUUUUUAAAUACCUAAAGGAAAUCAUCUGAAGAGCAGUGAUACAAGAAAAUAUUAACAAUUAAUAUUGUAGAAACAUAGAUGAGUCAAGGAGAAUGUCAAUCGCCCGAAACACACUUUGAUUAGAAUAGAUGAUUAUGGUUGAACAGGUGAAGAAUGAACUAUAUAGGAACACAUCUGAUUGUGGGAUUUUGGAGUAAAAUAAAGAACCAAUGUUGAACA